GAUAUCAACUGAAAAAGUCAUCAACAACAAAGUUGAAUAACUCAUCAACAUCUAAAACUUUUAUUUUGAUCAUUUCUUCAUACGAAAAAGUGAUAGUAACAUUAUUCACAAAAUUGACAUAUAUCUUAUCUGGUUUUAUAAACUAUAACACGUAUAUGUAAAAUUUGUGAAUAAUGUUACUAACAUUUUGUGAAUAAUAUUACUAACAUUUUGUCGGAUGAAGAAAUAACAAAAAUAAAAGUUUUAGAUCUUGAUGAAUUAUUCAACUUUGUUGUUGAUGACUUUUUCAAUUGAAAUC
rnacentral:pre_miRNA from 1 species